AAAUUGAAGAGUUUGAUCAUGGCUCAGAUUGAACGCUGGCGGCAGGCCUAACACAUGCAAGUCGAACGGUAACAGGAAGCAGCUUGCUGCUUCGCUGACGAGUGGCGGACGGGUGAGUAAUGUCUGGGAAACUGCCUGAUGGAGGGGGAUAACUACUGGAAACGGUAGCUAAUACCGCAUAACGUCGCAAGACCAAAGAGGGGGACCUUCGGGCCUCUUGCCAUCGGAUGUGCCCAGAUGGGAUUAGCUUGUUGGUG
rnacentral:rRNA from 2 species